rnacentral:sRNA from 1 species
UGCGCCUGCGAAGGACGAAGCGGUGCCCACAAAAUGAUGGUCUUGCAGGCGGCCGGGCUCCGUACCGUCACGUGAUCGCAAACGUUUGCGAUUCAAACUUAUUC